GGAUGAAGAACGCAGCGAAAUGCGAUAAGUAAUGUGAAUUGCAGAAUUCAGUGAAUCAUCGAAUCUUUGAACGCACAUUGCGCCCGCCAGUAUUCUGGCGGGCAUGCCUGUUCGAGCGUCAUUUCAACCAUCAAGCCCCCGGCUUGUGUUGGGGACCUGCGGCUGCCGCAGGCCCUGAAAAGCAGUGGCGGGCUCGCUGUCACACCGAGCGUAGUAGCAUACAUCUCGCUCUGGGCGUGCUGCGGGUUCCGGCCGUUAAACCACCUUCAUAACCCAAGGUUGACCUCGGAUCAGGUAGGAAGACCCGCUGAACUUAAGCAUAUCAAUAAGCGGAGGA
rnacentral:misc_RNA from 1 species